UGAGAAAAUGGGACUCAUCUCUGAAG
rnacentral:piRNA from 1 species